GACGAACGCUGGCGGCGUGCUUAACACAUGCAAGUCGAACGGAAAGGCCCUGCUUUUGUGGGGUGCUCGAGUGGCGAACGGGUGAGUAACACGUGAGUAACCUGCCCUUGACUUUGGGAUAACUUCAGGAAACUGGGGCUAAUACCGGAUAGGAGCUCCUGCUGCAUGGUGGGGGUUGGAAAGUUUCGGCGGUUGGGGAUGGACUCGCGGCUUAUCAGCUUGUUGGUGGGGUAGUGGCUUACCAAGGCUUUGACGGGUAGCCGGCCUGAGAGGGUGACCGGCCACAUUGGGAGUGAGCUGGGGCCGAGACUCCUAGGGGGGGAAGGGGGGGGAAAUAUUGCAAAGGGGGCGGAGGCGGAAUGCAGCAGCGCCGCGGGGGGGAGGACGGCCUGCGGGUUGAAACCCGCUUUCGCUUGGGAGAAAGCGUGAGUGGGGGUAGGGGGAAAAGAACCCCGGGAAAACUACGUC
rnacentral:rRNA from 1 species